AAUAAAUUUAUUUAUUUAAAAAAUAAUAAAUGGUAUAGUGUCAUGGAUAUUAAAUUAAUUAUUAAUUUUUAUAUUGUGCUUUUCUUGUGUGUAACUCAAUAAACAUAUUUUCGUAUUAAAUAUUUUUGUAGCCCUUAAAGAGGCCACAGGUUGUAGCACUGAGCCUGUAGUGAUGCUAACCAGCCCUGGGAGUACAACUGUGGCUCUAGAAAGACAAGAGGAUUCGGGGUUCUGCUGGUUACAUGUGAAGGCGUGUGACAGGGCAAUAUUUUGUAUUCAAGGGAUCCACCAAACUUUAUGCACCAGGGAAUUACCUUGACCUUUAAUGAUGAGUAACUAUGGACAGUGGUCUCCAACCAUUUCGGCACCAGGGACCGGUUUUGAGGAAGACAAUUUUUCCACGGACGUGGGUGGGGCGAUGGUUCAGGCGGUAAGGCGAGCGAUGGGGAGUGGCGGAUGGAGCUUUGCGCGCCCCGCCGCUCACCUGCUGCUCUGCGGCCCGGUUCCUAACAGGCCGCGGACUGCUACCCGUCCACAGCCCAGGGGUUGCGGACCCCUGAUAUAGAAUAUCCCCCAAAGAAAUAUGUUUUCAUUUUAAACUUUGGAAUCUAAUUCAUUUUCUUCUUAAUUCAUGAGCUUGGGCCCAGAGGCUUUAAAAGGGGGGAAAUAGUUUCACUGAAAUGGAUGGACAGCUAAAAAUAGUAUAUAAACAAACAAGUAAAUAAAUAAAACAACGGAUUACCCAGGUGGAAGAAUCUUACAAAAACCUGGAAGUUUCCCUCCAACUGAAGAGAGGUUCCAGCUGUUUGUUCCUGGAGAUGGGUUCCAGCUGUGUGAACCUGGAGGCCCCUCUUAGUUCUCAUUAUAUAGUGAUCAGAUGAACAGGGUGGGGAGACCAGAUCUAAAAAUCCCCAAUUCUGCAGAGACAGGCAAACCAAGGACACUGCUCUUGGACAAACAAUGAGAGUCAUUCACCUCUUCCCUGGGCAUGACCCGGCCAACUAUCAAUCCACCUGAAUAGAUUAGAGAUUUGUUCCAGAGGCAAAGUUUGAUAAACAUGGCCUCUUGUCCCAAAGUUGCUUUUCCUGACAUCGUGGUUCUCACUUUUGCCCAGGACAGGACCGAGGUUUCAUUGUUGCCAUGCAAUGAUCUGGAUCCAGAAGAUGUCGUUUCUUGGGCCAGCUCUAAGAACUGCCUCAGAAGAAGCCUGCAGAGUGAGAUGGGGUCUCUCAGCAGGAUGCUGCUCCACUGUGCUUUCUGUUUACCCACAUAAUUUGGUUUCAUGAAAGGGUGCUAAGUAGGUUUCACAGAACCAGGAAAGCACUUCCAGAGAAGCUUAUAUGACAGCUCUUAGCACCCUGCCUUUGACCUCAACCUCCCAGCUACUAACCCUUACUAACCCUCGGAAAUAUCCUUAUCAUAUGUCCUGGGCUUCUCUUUCCUUUCUUGUUUACCUGUCCACAAAUGACUAACUGUGCACUCAAUCUUCUGUUC